rnacentral:rRNA from 1 species
CGGAGGAUCCAAGCGUUAUCCGGAUUUAUUGGGUUUAAAGGGUGCGUAGGCGGCCUGUUAAGUCAGGGGUGAAAGACGGUAGCUCAACUAUCGCAGUGCCCUUGAUACUGAUGGGCUUGAAUGUACUAGAGGUAGGCGGAAUGUGACAAGUAGCGGUGAAAUGCAUAGAUAUGUCACAGAACACCGAUUGCGAAGGCAGCUUACUAUGGUAUUAUUGACGCUGAGGCACGAAAGCGUGGGGAUCAAACAGGAUUAGAUACCCUGGUAGUCCACGCCCUAAACGAUGAACACUCGAUGUUGGCGAUAUACGGUCAGCGUCAAAGCGAAAGCGUUAAGUGUUCCACCUGGGGAGUACGCCCGCAAGGGUG